rnacentral:lncRNA from 1 species
GAAUUCAUUACUUCAUUCACUAGCUAUUUUCUGAAUGCUCCAUUUGUGCCCUGCGCUGUGACGGGACUAGAGGAUUGAAGAAGGCAAAAAAUCAGUAAGAAAGCAUGGCUAGAGAGUGGGUCCUCGUCCCCGUCCCAUGGAGCUCAGUCCCCACAGCGUCCUAAUUGCCUUAAAGUAGCUGCUCUUGCCCCAGGAGAUCCACCCGGCUAUGAGUUGGUGCCAGGAAGGCCAUUGCAGAGAAAGGCAGGCGUGGAGUGUCCUCUGCCAGAGGCUGCCUGAGCUCCAUGGAAGGAGGCCAGUGUGGCAGUGAGGUGCCUGGCUGCCCGCCCCUCCCCUCACUCCUCUAAUAACCACCAUUUCUGUCUCCACCAAUUCUGGGACACCCACCUGCAGGUUCAAGACCACUCACACUUGGGCACUGAUGGGCCUCUAUGGGGUCAUGGAAGGAGCCCUCAGGCAGUGGAAUGUCUCAGGUGACCCCUGCCAAGGGGCCAAGCCCAGCUUUUGUUGCUUAGCCUCCUCCAAGGAAAACCCUCCCUGGGAAAGUUCUGAUGAUCACCACCUCUGACCAAGCCAUACUUCCUGUAAGCACCAGAAAGAAAGUGAUUCCAGGUUCUAUUAUUGAACUUUACACUAUCGUUUCAACAAAAUAAAGUAUAUGGCUUUUAAUGUUCAA